rnacentral:rRNA from 1 species
GCGGCACGCCUAACACAUGCAAGUCGAACGCAGUAGCAAUACUGAGUGGCAGACGGGUGAGUAUAAUGUGGGAAUCUGCCUUUUGGUUCGGAAUAACUCGGGGAAACUUGAGCUAAUACCGGAUAAGCCCUUACGGGGAAAGAUUUAUCGCCAAAAGAUGAGCCCGCACUUGAUUAGCUAGUUGGUGAGGUAAUUGCUCACCAAGGCAACAAUCAAUAGCUGUUCUUAGAGGAAGACCAGCCACAUUGGGACUGAGACACGGCCCAGACUCCUACGGGAGGCAGCAGUGGGGAAUCUUGCACAAUGGGGGAAACCCUGAUGCAGCGAUGCCGCGUGAGUGAAGAAGGCCUUUGGGUUGUAAAACUCUUUCGUCGGGGAAGAAAAUGACUGUACCCGAAUAAGAAGGUCCGGCUAACUUCGUGCCAGCAGCCGCGGUAAUACGAAGGGACCUAGCGUAGUUCGGAAUUACUGGGCUUAAAGAGCUCGUAGGUGGUUAAAAAAGUUGGUGGUGAAAUCCCAAGGCUUAACCUUGGAACUGCCAUCAAAACUUUUUAGCUUGAGUGUGAUAGAGGAAAGUGGAAUUUCUAGUGUAGAGGUGAAAUUCGUAGAUAUUAGAAAGAACACCAAAUGCGAAGGCAACUUUCUGGAUCACUACUGACACUGAGGAGCGAAAGCAUGGGUAGCGAAGAGGAUUAGAUACCCUCGUAGUCCAUGCUGUAAACGAUGUGUGCUAGACGUUGGAAAUUUUAUUUUCAGUGUCGCAGCAAAAGCGUUAAGCACACCGCCUGGGGAGUACGACCG